CCUACGGUAGGCAGCAGUGGGGAAUUUUGGACAAUGGACGAAAGUCUGAUCCAGCAAUGCCGCGUGCAGGACGAAGGCCUUCGGGUUGUAAACUGCUUUUGUACGGAACGAAAAGGUCUGCCUUAAUACGGUGGGCUCAUGACGGUACCGUAAGAAUAAGCACCGGCUAACUACGUGCCAGCAGCCGCGGUAAUACGUAGGGUGCAAGCGUUAAUCGGAAUUACUGGGCGUAAAGCGUGCGCAGGCGGUUAUAUAAGUCAGAUGUGAAAUCCCCGGGCUCAACCUGGGACCUGCAUUUGAGACUGUAUAGCUAGAGUACGGUAGAGGGGGAUGGAAUUCCGCGUGUAGCAGUGAAAUGCGUAGAUAUGCGGAGGAACACCGAUGGCGAAGGCAAUCCCCUGGACCUGUACUGACGCUCAUGCACGAAAGCGUGGGGAGCAAACAGGAUUAGAUACCCUGGUAGUCCACGCCCUAAACGAUGUCAACUGGUUGUUGGGUCUUCACUGACUCAGUAACGAAGCUAACGCGUGAAGUUGACCGCCUGGGGAGUACGGCCGCAAGGUUGAAACUCAAAAGGAAUUGACGGCNGAGAGUAGCGAGACGACGACGAGGGAGGAGG
rnacentral:rRNA from 1 species